rnacentral:snRNA from 1 species
GUGCUCACUUUGGCAGCACAUAUACUAAAAUUGGAACGAUACAGAGAAGAUUAGCAAGGCCCCUGUGCAAAGAUGACAUGCAAAUUCGCGAAGCGUUCCAUAUUUUU